AUGGCCUGGGCCCCUCUCCUCCUCGCGGUGCUCACCCACAGCUCAGGUUCCCUGGUCCAGGCAGCCCUGACUCAGCCACCCUCGGUGUCAGUGAACCUGGGAGAAACUGCCCAGAUCACCUGCUCCGGGUUUAGCAGCGGCAGCUAUGCUGGCUGGUACCAGCAGAAGGUCCCUGGCAGUGCCCCUGUCACUGUGAUCUACAAUGACAACAAGAGACCCUCGGACAUCCCUUCGCGAUUCUCCAUACCUUUCUUUGGCUCCACAGCCACGUUAACCAUCACUGGGGUCUAAGCCGAGCACGAGGCUGUCUAUUACUGUGGUGGCUCUGAUGGCAGCAGUUCUGAUCUGGGUGGUGGAGGCACCACUCUCUCUUCCCCCCUCACAGGCCGGCCCCAGUCCCCCCCUGAACUCCUCCUCUUCCCGCCGGCCACCGAGGAGAUCUCCACGCAGAGCAAAGCCACGCUGGUGUGUCUGCUGGAAGACUUCUACCCCAGCACCGUGCAGGUGACCUGGACGGCUGAUGGCCAGAUGCUCACCAGCGGCAUCCAGACCAGCAAUGCCCAGCAGCAGAGCAACAGCAAGUACAUGGCCAGCAGCUACCUGACACUGAGUGCCGCCGACUGGAAUAGCCAUGACCAUGAGUCCUACACCUGCAAGGUCACGCACGAGGCUGGCAACGUGGAGAAGAGCCUGAAGAGAUCCGAGUGCUCCUAA